UUCAGUCGAGGAGCUUAUUAAGGAAGCCCAGGAGAUGAAGCAGAACCUGACAUUUGAGUCAGAAGAGCUCCGUGGUCAACAGAAAGCAUUACCAAAAAAGUCCAAGGCAGACAUGCAAGAUGGGAAGGCUCAGAAAUCCUCCUUAUCACUUUGGAAGGUCAAGAGUGAGUCAGAGAAACCAGACAUCGACAAAGUGGGAGACAUACGGAAGAAGAUCUUUCUUCCAUCAGGAAAAGCAACAGAGGAAAAUAAAAUGGGUCAAAUAUGAGGAGCAACCCAACAUCCUUCAGAGAAUCCCAGGAUCAAAGAGCUACAAGAAGGAACUAGAGAAAGUCAUAUGAUGAUGUAGGACAGAGGCUCUUUUUUCUGAAGUCAAUGCCAGAUGAAGCUCUGAAGGAUUAGAAGGCUUUCACUACAUUUGCUUUGGACAGAUGCGAAGACUAGGUACGGCCUUUCUGUUCACUAAAAUCUCUCAAACC
rnacentral:lncRNA from 1 species